rnacentral:miRNA from 1 species
UCCUGGUCGACUCCCACGUUCCCU